rnacentral:rRNA from 1 species
AUUGAACGCUGGCGGCAUGCCUUACACAUGCAAGUCGAACGGUAACAGGUCUUCGGAUGCUGACGAGUGGCGAACGGGUGAGUGAUACAUCGGAACGUGCCCGAGAGUGGGGGAUAACGAGGCGAAAGCUUUGCUAAUACCGCAUACGAUCUCAGGAUGAAAGCAGGGGACCGCAAGGCCUUGCGCUCACGGAGCGGCCGAUGGCAGAUUAGGUAGUUGGUGGGAUAAAAGCUUACCAAGCCGACGAUCUGUAGCUGGUCUGAGAGGACGACCGGCCACACUGGGACUGAGACACGGCCCAGACUCCUACGGGAGGCAGCAGUGGGGAAUUUUGGACAAUGGGCGCAAGCCUGAUCCAGCCAUGCCGCGUGCAGGAUGAAGGCCUUCGGGUUGUAAACUGCUUUUGUACGGAACGAAAAGACUCUGGUUAAUACCUGGGGUCCAUGACGGUACCGUAAGAAUAAGCACUGGCUAACUACGUGCCAGCAGCCGCCGUAACAC